rnacentral:rRNA from 1 species
GACGAACGCUGGCGGCGUGCCUAAUACAUGCAAGUAGAACGCUGAAGGAGGAGCUUGCUUCUCUGGAUGAGUUGCGAACGGGUGAGUAACGCGUAGGUAACCUGCCUGGUAGCGGGGGAUAACUAUUGGAAACGAUAGCUAAUACCGCAUAAUAGCAGUUGUUGCAUGACAACUGUUUGAAAGGUGCAAUUGCACCACUACCAGAUGGACCUGCGUUGUAUUAGCUAGUUGGUGGGGUAACGGCUCACCAAGGCGACGAUACAUAGCCGACCUGAGAGGGUGAUCGGCCACACUGGGACUGAGACACGGCCCAGACUCCUACGGGAGGCAGCAGUAGGGAAUCUUCGGCAAUGGACGGAAGUCUGACCGAGCAACGCCGCGUGAGUGAAGAAGGGUGUCGGAUCGUAAAGCUCUGUUGUAAGAGAAGAACGAGUGUGAGAGUGGAAAGUUCACACUGUGACGGUAUCUUACCAGAAAGGGACGGCUAACUACGUG